rnacentral:rRNA from 1 species
UACGUAGGUGGCGAGCGUUAUCCGGAAUUAUUGGGCGUAAAGAGCGCGCAGGUGGUUGAUUAAGUCUGAUGUGAAAGCCCACGGCUUAACCGUGGAGGGUCAUUGGAAACUGGUCGACUUGAGUGCAGAAGAGGGAAGUGGAAUUCCAUGUGUAGCGGUGAAAUGCGUAGAGAUAUGGAGGAACACCAGUGGCGAAGGCGACUUACUGGACACGUAUUGACGCUGAGGUGCGAAAGCGUGGGGAGCAAACAGG